rnacentral:rRNA from 1 species
UGAUCUGGACACGAUGAAGACCACUUAGCUUGCACUGGUUGGAUUAGUGGCGAACGGGUGAGUAAUACGUGAGUAACCUGCCUUUGACUCUGGGAUAAGCCUGGGAAACUGGGUCUAAUACCGGAUAUGACAAGGAACCGCAUGGUUUUUUGUGGAAAGGGUUUGUACUGGUUUUAGAUGGGCUCACGGCCUAUCAGCUUGUUGGUGGGGUAAUGGCUCACCAAGGCGACGACGGGUAGCCGGCCUGAGAGGGUGACCGGCCACACUGGGACUGAGACACGGCCCAGACUCCUACGGGAGGCAGCAGUGGGGAAUAUUGCACAAUGGGCGCAAGCCUGAUGCAGCGACGCCGCGUGAGGGAUGACGGCCUUCGGGUUGUAAACCUCUUUCAGCAGGGAAGAAGCGAAAGUGACGGUACCUGCAGAAGAAGCGCCGGCUAACUACGUGCCAGCAGCCGCGGUAAUACGUAGGGCGCGAGCGUUGUCCGGAAUUAUUGGGCGUAAAGAGCUUGUAGGCGGUUUGUUGCGUCUGCUGUGAAAGACCGGGGCUUAACCCCGGUAUUGCAGUGGGUACGGGCAGACUAGAGUGCAGUAGGGGAGACUGGAAUUCCUGGUGUAGCGGUGAAAUGCGCAGAUAUCAGGAGGAACACCGAUGGCGAAGGCAGGUCUCUGGGCUGUAACUGACGCUGAGAAGCGAAAGCAUGGGAGCGAACAGGAUUAGAUACCCUGGUAGUCCAUGCCGUAAACGUUGGGCACUAUGUGUGGGGGACAUUCUCGUUUUCCGCGCCGUAGCUAACGCACUUAAUUGUCCCGCCUG